ACCAAAACCUCGUCCAUUGUUUUGUGAAGAUGAACCUAAACUUAAACAUGUUUCAACUUCAACGCUUGCAUUUGAAUGCGAAAAUUUUCUCCUUUACAAUUCCAAACCAUAACAUUCCACUCUUCCCCCCAAACCUCUCACACUCAUCUUCUUCGGGUCUUUUUUUUUUUUAAUUGUUUAAUUCAUAUCUCAAUUCUAAUUUUAAUGAUAUUGCUCUUAUGAUUUAUGGGUAUAAGCUUCAAACUUCAAUUCAGUAUCAUUUGUAUUUAUAUUAGCUUUGAUAUUAAUUUGGGUGUAUUUUGUUUAUCUUUUUUAUUAUUGGAAGUAAAAAUUAGGAGCUCAAGACAUUUGGUGAACAAAUCUAUGUCAGAGAUGCUUUCGGGUUCUUUUGAUAAGGUACUAUGCUCUGGAAUUAGGAUUUCUGAUGUUUGCAGUUGGAGUUUAUUCCAGUGAAAAGGAUCUUCUUGAAGCCUUCAAGAGACUAGUGGCUAUUUCUGACUUGUCUAAAACUCAAGCUCCAAGACCCAUAAAAAAUGUCGUAAUUCUUGACUAUGAAAAGGCUGUUGUUGCUCUAGUUGGAGCUACUUUGGUCCUCACGAUGGUGGGAGUGGGACCUGCCUCAGCUGCUGAAUUGUCGUUGUUGGCCUCAUCUUUGCAACUGAGUGAACCAUCCAAUGCCUUGUCCUUGCCCACCUGGGCCGUGCAUGUCUCCAGUGUUGUUAAUGGAUUACCGCAAUGGCUUUAGUGUGGCAAUAUGGAGAGAAAUCUGAGUAUGAAGCAUGGAAAGGUCUUUCAUGGGGAAUGGUAACCCUGCUUGGUGGAGCAUUUUGUGCAUGCACAUGGCAUUUCUUUUAUAAUUCUGAGUCUCUUGAGGUAUUGGUGGCUCUUCAAGCCACGCUUACAGUGAUAGGUAAUGCUACAAUGUGUUAUGCUGCAUUUCGAAUAUGCAAAUUGUCAGAGGAACGGUCACAGAAUCUAUAAAAUUCCUGUAUCAGGAUAUAAUCAUGUGCUUGAAUGCAUAUCCUUCUUGUUUAUUAGACAUAUCCAUAAUGAAGGUAAGCAGCUUGCCAGCUCUCCGUUAGAAUGAUGAAAAAAAACCACCAGUUUUUUUCCUAUGGAUUAUAGUUGUUUAGCUUUUGCAGUAAAAAAGGAAAUGUGAUGCUGGAAAUGUCCUUGAUUGAUGACAAAGCCGAUUUUCAUGGGGCUCAGAUCUCAAAAUUGCAGGUAAUUCUUUGCAAAAAAAGUAAUGGAUUGUGAUCAUGUAGUUGUUGAGGAGGGAUUGAUGGAGCCAAAUGCCAUAAUGUGUUAAGCAGUAUCCGGAAUGAAGAUUUAUUUAUUUAUUUUUUUUAAUAGCUAUAACUUGUCAAGAAACAACUUUGGAAAGCCUGUGCGUUGCGCAUAUAUGUUUAUUGGAUGUUUUUUAAACAAUUUGUAAACAAACCAACUAUAUUCGGCCAUAAGAAUUGUUAAGAAUAUUUUUUUCAUA